UACGAAGGGGGCUAGCGUUGUUCGGAUUUACUGGGCGUAAAGCGCGUGUAGGCGGACUUGUAAGUUGGGGGUGAAAUCCCGAGGCUCAACCUCGGAACUGCCUCCAAAACUACAAGUCUGGAGCAAGAUAGAGGCAAGUGGAAUUGCGAGUGUAGAGGUGAAAUUCGUAGAUAUUCGCAGGAACACCAGUGGCGAAGGCGAUUUGCUGGAUCUUUGCUGACGCUGAGACGCGAAAGCGUGGGGAGCAAACAGG
rnacentral:rRNA from 1 species